rnacentral:rRNA from 1 species
UGUGUAGGCGGUUGCUUAAGUUUGGUGUGAAAUCUCCCGGCUCAACUGGGAGGGUGCGCCGAAUACUGAGUGACUAGAGUGCGGGAGAGGAGAGUGGAAUUCCUGGUGUAGCGGUGAAAUGCGUAGAUAUCAGGAGGAACACCGGUGGUGUAGACGGCUCUCUGGACCGUAACUGACGCUGAGACACGAAAGCGUGGGUAGCAAACAGGAUUAGAUACCCUGGUAGUCCACGCCCUAAACGAUGCAUAUUUGGUGUGGGCAGUUCAUUCUGUCCGUGCCGGAGCUAACGCGUUAAAUAUGCCGCCUGGGGAGUACAGUCGCAAGGCUGAA